rnacentral:misc_RNA from 1 species
AAGUCGUAACAAGGUCUCCGUAGGUGAACCUGCGGAGGGAUCAUUCACAUGAUUUACUUUAUCAAACAAACCGUGAACUUUAUUAUUUACUAUUCGUGUUGUUAUAUUACUCCUUCGUGAGUAUUUAAUAACACUGUCAUUCGAUCGAACAUAAGAUAGUUGGCUUGUAUUUUAUAAUACUUUCUCAGCUUUGAUUUACAUGUGUAACUAAACACUACACUUGAACAAUCAACCAAUAAAUAGAAUUAACAACUCUAUGCCCUGGAUAUCUUGGUUCUC